ACAGAAAACAGUUCCGAGAAGAACUACCCAAGGCCUUCGUCUAGGUACUUUACUUUUCUUAGCACCACAAUACAUUUUUCCAGAUGAAGAAACACACACUAAAUUCACUCCGAAGCACAGUUUGUUAGUGCACUGUACGUUCUGCAGCUUUCAGUGCAAUAUUAUAUAAUCAACAGUGCUAGUCAUAUCUGUUUUUCAAGUGAAAAGUCUAGUUAUUGGAAAGAGAACACCAUCGAUGAUAGUCCAGAAAAGAUUUGGUUUUGAUUGGCCAAUGAAUGUUAAAGUGAGUUUCCAUAUUCCUGAACUAAAUUUUGCACCUCAGCUGAGAACUGUAUCCCCUUAAUGGUCACCAGAUUGCGCAUCGGUUCAUUCGCUAGUUUUCUUGCAAAAAGAGGGGUUGUAAUAUUAGCAUUAUCCCAUAAGCAAGAUCUCAGGAGACAUUUAAUAAAUGCCAUUAAGUUGUCAACAGUGACAUUUGAAUCAAAGAGAAAGAUUAAAUAUCAGAAGUGCCUUCCGUUUGAAUAUCUGAGGAAGAUGUUGUUGAUGUAAUUAAAAUAAAUAUUUUCCCUGCUAUCAUUACCAUAAAUAAAAUGAAGGAAAGCUAAAAACUCAAAUGCAUUUUGGAGAACAGCAAAAACAAGCAACAUUUACUCCAGCCAUUAUUAUCUUGUCGCUUCAUUCACCUUAGUUAAUAGGGGACUUAACGUUCUACAAAUACAUGUCAUACAAGAAUUAGCUGCUAUGCACUAACUCAGCACCGGGAUUAGAAUUCUAGUGUAGUUUCAUGUCAAGUCAAAUAGCAGUUACCUAGCCAAAGCCAUCUACACCUCUUUACUAUUUUGAGAAAAAGUCACACUGUUCCCUGCAGCUGCAACGAUGCUCUAUCUAUAAAGUUAGCCAGCCAAACAAACAGGGGCGUGUUCAUAACAGAAACCGUUUACCAAAUGGAAGCAAACAGAGCAAAACAAGAGUUUCUAUUGGACAAAUUCAGGUAGGUCUCUUCCCCAUUCCAUUUGCUGCUGUUUAUGAAACAUUUUGCCACAGAAUCGUCAGAAUGAACACACUCCAGCCUUCCCUCCGCUCCCUGGCAUCCAUCAGCAUGGUCUUAAUCUUGACUGUAAUACCCAAUUGAUGCCAUUGACAUUGACACUCAAUAUAUUUUGUUUUAUUCGCAGCAAUAUUCACCAUUUUAUUAAAGCCUGAAUGUUUUAAUUGAAUAUGUUUCUGUUAACUUAUGUUGUAGCUAGGUAGCAGCUAACUAACUGCUGCUAGCUAGCAGGAUCUAGAAUUAAAAGUCCCAUCCCAGCAACCAACAACUACCUAGCAACGUCAUAGCCAUAGCUACCUCUCUAACGGGUGAUGGUCACAGAUGAGGAAUGCCUCUGUUGUCAAGAGUGUGCACAGGGGCAGGGACUGCUAGCAGAGAUUUAGGAGGCUGCAUGCCUCUUCGCACACCCCAGUGUUGGCCCCCACACAGACAGAGGGAUACUUACUACCUUUCACAUCCCAAAGAGGAACUCUUUGGAAUAGUCGGUUCCGGCCGGCCAGCAAGUACCAGAUGGGACUGGGUUGUGGCUCCACUGUUAAUCGAGGACCUAUGAUCUCCUUCCUGGAUACAAAGUGAUCUGCUCAGAUCUUCUGGUCCAGCCUCAUAUCGUCCUAAAUUACUAAAAUUGAGGGGUCUCCAGGGGCCACUAGGGGCCCGAGGUGUUCAGGGGCCACAGAUUCACCAUCACCUGUUACACUCAGCCAAAGUACACAGGAAGCUCAUUCCUCCACACUUUCACCGGCUCCAACAGAACCUAGACCCAGACAGCAGUCAAUCACUCUUCUGCCUUCCUCUUCCCUGCUGCGGAUGACUCCCACCAACGCAACUACAGCUGUGUUUAUGAGAAUUAUGUUUUCUCUCAUAACUCUCACUUUCAGCCUCUCCUCUACCAACCUUGCUCAUCAGACACUUUGUAGUGCUGGUAAUCCUACUAACAGCCAUCAUUGUACUUCAAGGUAAAGACAUUUACUCAGAUGUGACAAGUCAUUUGACCUAGAUGGAGAGGGUGCCUCCUAAACCACCAGGAGGCAGAAGAGAGUGAACAGGGUGAGCAGCAUGGAUCUUUAUGACAAUGUCAAUGCCAUGGAGAUGAUCUCGCUGAGCUCCAGAGCUGAAGCCAGUCCGGGAGAGGAGAGAGCAGCCCAGGGGACGGAGUAGGACAAGAAUGAUGCUGACCCUACAUGCUAAUCUUAGGUCAGUUUUGUGUUUUAAAAUGUAUGGUCAGCAGAGCACUGGUGCAUAAAAUGUGGCGGCAGGUAGCUUAGUGGUUAGAGCCAGCAACCAAAAGGUUGCUAAAUCGAAUCCCCGAGCUGUCAUGGUAAAAAUCUGUCAUUCUGCCCCUGAACAAGGCAGUUAACCCACUGUUCCUAGGCUGUCAUUGUUCUUAACUGACUUGCCUAGUUGAAAUGAAAAACUUAAAUUGUUCGUAUUUUAAUAACACAAGUUCAGAAUUUGUUUAUCUUUCUAUAACCCUGGAAGAAGUCUAAAAGGAGUGACUGCAACCACCAUUAUUCCUUUUUGUAUUGUUUUUUCCCCCCAGAAUUUUUAACAUGGAGUUUAUUAAGAGACUAGGUACAUUUUCGUCUGGUUUGUGUUGUAUACAUUGCAUUCGAUCGUAAAAAAAGGACUCAUGUUUGUCACAAGUCAAUUUGGUUUAUUGUUGGAGUUUAUCUCUGAUGAUGCUGUUGAUUAGAAAUGUUAUGAUAUUGAUUAUGAUGAUUGUAGAUUAGUGUUAUGAUGUUGUUCAUAGUAUUUAAUGUUAUUAUCUUAUGAUCUGUUGUUUAGGGAGAAAGCUCAGUACAUAGUGCACGUCUGAUAUAUAACAGUGUGUGUGUGUGUGUGUGUGUGUGUGUGUGUGUGUGUGUGUGUGUGUGUGUGUGUGUGUGUGUGUGUGUGUGUGUGUGUGUGUGUGUGUGUGUGUGUGUGUGUGUGUGUGUGUUGUGUACAUAUUUAAGUAAUUCAAUUAAUAAGUUUAAAUAAACAUUUGAUUUAGCUUUCUGGUAACUUACCCCAAAUUCCAACAUUUUACACAAAAACACUUAUUGGGUGUUUUGACAACAUGGAUACUUAUUGUAAAAGUAGAGGAAGAUUGCAGAAGAGGUAAGACAGCAUUUUUAUUGAUGAUCGUUUGGGAGUUUGAGUGAGUGCAUAGUUUGAGUGAGUGCAUGAGUGUGUGAGUCAGGGCAAGGUCUGACCAAUACAGGACAAAGAACCAGAAUACACAGAUCGCAAAAAGUAUUUUUUAAAUUUUGUUUGUUUCCAUUAGAAAUCACAUCGGAACCCAAAUAAAAGAGGGAGGGAAAAAUAAUUGGGUAAGGGAGAAAAGAAAGAAAAGCAAACCCGAAAACAUUUGCCACUCAUACUGCAAUCCUAGAAACCUUUUGACUUCUUGUCACCGUGGGCAACAGUCUUCAUCUGACCAUUUAAGGAGCUCUUCUAAUUGGCUGAGACAGAGCUCAAGCAAAGAGAAAGCAUGAAGUAUUGAAUAAUUCUAUAUCGGAAUGAGUCACAAGAUGGCGGGUAUGACUGAAUAGUUGUCGGCCCUGGAGAUGAAGGCGACUGUUACUAUCUGGCUGGUCAGCCAACUGGUCCCAUCUGGCCGGCCAACUGGUACUAUCUGGCUGACUGGAACUAUUCAGGCUGAUCGGCCGACUGGUCCCAUCUGGCCGGCCGACUGGUCCUAUCUGGCCGGCCGACUGGUCCUUUCAGGCUGGUUGACUGGUCCGGCCGACUGGUCUUUUCUGGCAAGCCGACUGAUAAUAUCUGACGGGUCCCAUCUGGCCGGCAUACUGGUCCCUUCUAUCUGGUUGGCCAACUUCUCCCAUCCGGCCAGCCAACUGGUACUAUCUGGUACUAUAGCUCUCUUGUCCUAUCUGGCCGGCCAAAUGUUCAUAUCUGGCCGGCCAACUAGUACUAUCUGGUACUAUAGCUCUCUUGUCCUAUCUGGCCGGCCAAAUGUUCAUAUCUGUCCGGCCAACUGGUACUAUCUGGCCAGCUGACCGACUGGACCAAUCUGACCGGCCUAGUUGUCCCAUCUAGCUGGCAUGCUAGUCCUUACGACUGGUCCAGCCCACUUGUCCUAUCCGACUGUUCAUAUCUGGCUGGCUGACUGGUCCUAUCUGGCCGGUCAACUGUUCAUAUCUAGUGGACUGAUGCUUUGAGCCUGAAGAUCUGAGGAGAAAUAGAGAGGAGAAAGAGAGAGAGAGAGAGCAGAGGAGAGUUGGGCUUGACCUUGAGUGGAAAAGUGGAAAAGGUUACUGGUUAUGAUUACACCACUGGUGAGAAGUCAAUGUUGUUUACACGUAAUUUCAACUCCAAAAAUCUAUGUUGAUGACAUUAAAUCAACCUGGAAAACAGAUUGGAUUUUUUAAAAGUCGUCAAUGUAAGGGCAUUUAAUAUUUUUGGGGUUUUGUAAAAGGUAAUCAACGUAAAGGAAUUUAGUAAUGUUUUCACCCAAAUCCAAUGACAUGGUAAAAUUUUUUGUUGAUUUCAUAUUAGUUGCCAACUCAACCAAAUGUAAAUCAAAACCAGACGUCUGUCUGUGCCCAGUGGGAUGUUAGUCUGUCAGCCCUAUCUCUUUUGACAUCUCCCUCUCUCUCUCUCUCAUCCCCAACUCUCUCCCCUCCUCUGUCUCGGUCUCUCUCUCUCCCUCAUAUAUAUAUAUAUAUAUAUAUACAUACAUAUAUUCCAGACACAGAACCCCCCCCCCUCUCCUGCUCGAACAUCAUCUCCUCUCCAUAUGUAUAUGGACAGUGAAGCGUUUAAAAAACAAAUGGGCUCUUUUUAUUCAUGUUGGUUUCUGUUGAAGAGUCCAGACACACCAUAAUUGUGGACGCUGCAGGAAGGAGAAGAAGGAAAAGUGAUGAAGGAUAGAGCGUCACACUUAAGAAUCAGUGCCAGUGAGAGAUAUUGACGAUCUUGGUGUUUUCCUCAUCCCCUGCGGGCAUUGACGAUGCAAGUGUGUACAGGAACUGCUUGUGACACACAAUGUGGUAAGACUCCACCCGCUCUUUCAACUAGCCCAAUAUGCCUUUCUGAAGAAGUCUUGGU